rnacentral:tRNA from 1 species
GUCCCUGUAGCGCAAUGGAUUGCGCGUUGGACCUCUAAUCCAAAGGUUGUGGGUUCGAAUACCACCUCGGAUG